AUCCCCAGCAGCUGCCUGUUCUCCCCCUCCACUGGGCUAGAGCUGUGUCACACAGGCUGAGUGGCCAGGAAGCUGGGCACCAUCCAGGGAGCGUGUGAUCGUCGGGGUCCUGUUGAUUCCUGCUUUUGAGUAAUGAAGGCGACCAAACCACAUGACCCUGCCUGCGAAGAUUCCACCUGGACUCCCGGUUCCUCCAAGGAACUGUCGUGCAUUUCAAAUCCAACAGAAAUUCUCCAAAUCUCUACCCUCCUCAGAGUGCAGAGUUGGCUGCUUUUCUGUGCCCCCCGCUGAUCACCGCAACCCCUGGGUGCCUCGGCCUGCGAAGCCCCAGCUGUCCUCCGUCUGCAGACAAGCCAAGGUAUGAAAGCCUCCUCGCUGGCCCAGGAGCCUGUCAUUGUCCUCCAGCAGCUCCAGCCUGGAUGCGGCCCCAGAGAUAAAGCAUAUCUCUUUAAAAAGC
rnacentral:lncRNA from 1 species